rnacentral:rRNA from 1 species
GACAGAGGUGCCGAGCGUUAGGCGGAAUCACUGGGCUUAAAGCGUGUGUAGGCGGAUUUGUAAGUACCUUGUGAAAUCCCACGGCUCAACCGUGGAACUGCUCGGUAUACUGCUUAUCUUGAGCCACUUAGGGGCAGUCGGAACAGAUGGUGGAGCGGUGAAAUGCGUAGAGAUCAUGAGGAAGACCAGUGGCGAAGGCGGGUCUCUGGACAGGUUCCUGACACUGAGGCACGAAGGCCAGGGGAGCAAACGGG